rnacentral:tRNA from 1 species
GGAGAGAUGGCCGAGUGGCUGAAGGCGCACGCUUGGAAAGCGUGUUUACUCUAACAGGUAACGUGGGUUCGAAUCCCACUCUCUCCGCCA